UAUUCGCCGCUGCGAUUGUUAAACGUCUCGAGACCCUCGCUGAGUUUGUGCGUGCGCGCUUCUAUCUCGUUCGCCAGCUCACCGUCACUAACGGCCGAGUCGUAAUAAACAUUACAAUUACAUAAUUAAUUAAAUGCAAUUACGUUCUUGAGUAAUUAAAUAAACUAAGUGUUGUACAUGCAGUUUCCCACACUUCUUGGGGUCCGACGUACUGGUUGAGUACCUACUUACGACGGCACUGAGAUCCGCCUGUCCACCACCGGGAAUUAACUACGGAGCCAUUCGUUACCCACGACGCUUAUUUACCGCCUCGAGAAGACGUCCCGUUAUUCCUGGGCGGCUAAGGGGAGUACCUGACCGUAAUAGCCGUACGGAGAGAUUGAACCCGAGUGUAGGGCAACCCACGAAAUUUAAUAAAGUUGUACGCUAAAU